AAACGUACAUUGUCGUCAUCAUUUUACCGUAAUAUGACAUAUAUAUUGUUGACAAAGCGACACUGUCACCCGAAUUCCGCUCAGAAUCGUUUUAUCGUUAGCAAUAGUUUAUUGUCGUUUACAGACGUACAUUGAAUUCCCGUCUGUGUCCUACCUUCACAACUUCCCAUCUAUAACAGUGGCUACACCCUCGUGCGAAAUGUCUCCGUUCUUUUUCUAACUUAUAAUGUAUAUAAAGAAUGUUAUUAAUAUUACAUCGUUUAGACUUUAUGCUGAAACCUUGUCAGUUGUCAUAGAUGUGUUCAUACCAUAU